AGAAGGCAAAGGAAAAGCACCCCACAUUGAUUGUUGUUUUAAAAAUCUCAGGAUUUUAAAGCCAAUCUAUGGGUUUCUAAGCAUUACUCCUGAUUUUUGAACCUUGGUGAUAGCAACGUUGCUGUUGUCUCUGCACCUUCUUGUGCCUGAAUUGUUUUGUGCUUUUUUCUUCCCAGUUAGACCUAAGCUCUGUGAACAGGGAGGCCUUCUUUGCCCAUCUUCUGUACGAGCGCUGCGUGAAUUCUAUACCCAAAUCCAGCAGUGUAGCUGAGAGCAGAGUUUGAUCUUUUCCUUGUUCACUACCACUUUAGACUUGCGGUCUGUCCUCUGUUCACGAAUCCAGUGCCCUGUUUUUUCAUUUUCUGCUGCAUUCAUAUUCCUGGCUGGUGGCUUAAAGGAUUUUCCACAAUAUCCUCUAAAUCCUUUCCUAAUCAGUCCUGACUGCUCUAUUUGCAAUAUACUUGCUGUUCUGGUACAUUGCCUUCACUGUUCAUGUUACACCUUUGUCUACAUUAACUACUUCAUAACUGUGUAACCCAUGGUAUGUGAUGCAAAAUACAUCCUUAGCUCUCUAUCCUUCCCUGAAAGAAUCACAGAGUUGCUUUCUCCUAACACAGAACAAGAAAUUCUCCAAGAAGCAAUAACUACUGUCUGUCUCUGCUGCAUUGCAGUUUCUGCCUAGAACGUCUCCUGCCUGGCUUCCUGAUGGAGGUUUAAAGAAACAGUACAAACACCUGUACACCAUCCAUAAAUGAAGUACUGCUGAUAUUCUAGUGGAACAUUGGUACUUUCUGAGAUUGGUAUGAGGGUCUGUUGCAAUAUGGGUUACCAUGGACACCAGCAGUAAGAGAGAAGCUGCCAGAGCUUCAACAUGACAGCAGUUAGGUCAACCCUCCUUAUCCUGAUCCGUUGACUCGAAUCUCCUAUCCAAACUGCGUCUGCUUAUGCCAUCCUAACCUUUCAUUUCCAUUCUGGUCUCGACAAUCCCCUAUCCCAGGGUCUACCCAGUAGAAUAACUUAGGUCUGGUCUACACUAAUAAGAAAGAGGUCCGUCAGCAAGAAGCUGCUCCCUUGGUCACUCACUGCUUUAGCGCACUCUGCUCCCAUUCCCUACCUGAGCUUUGGAGCUGUUAACCUGAAAAACCCCCAGCCUCUGAACAGCUUGUCCUGGACCCUGUGACCUAGAACGAAACUGAGCCUUUUUUAAAUGAAAAACGAGAGAGAGAUCAACCUUCCACCCUAGAAUAGCGAAGAGGUUCAAGUCCCUGGGCUGCCUCAGGCAAACCACAGCCUUAAACCUGGGUCUCCCACAUCCCAGGCAAGUGCCCUAACCACUGGACUAUUGGCUGUUCUGGGAGGUGGUGUUUGCAAGGGCCAGCCUAACCCUGUUGUCGCCAGCUAUACCUGUUUGGACUUGUAUUUUUUGGCAUAUCGUGGUGAGACAAAGCAUUCUGGUUUCAUGUCCAUGCUCUCUGGAUUGGAGA